AAACCUGAGUCUAGGAGGUGGGGGGGGGGCAGAUUCUUAGGAGCCGGCGGACUGGGUGUCCUGGAGGGCGAAGGAGACCGUACUGCAGCUGCCACAGGAAGGCGGCCUGGCCUCCCAGAGCGCCCACACUGCGGACUGGGCGGGCUGGACCAGCAUCAGAGGCCGAGCAUUGUCAAAGACACUGAGGCUCCAGGAGCCGAGGCUCGGCUUCAGAGGCCCUGGCCUGGGCACGAAGGAAGCAACCACUCCGUUUUUGAUCAGGGGCUUGAAGGCGGAGGGCCGGGGCUCCGGGUUCCGCCUGCAGCCCUUGCUGUCUGGGACCUGCAACCCCAGCGGCCCUUGUAUCGUGGUGCUCCCCUUGUGGCACGCGCGCAGUGCCGUCUGCGGGAUCUCCGGGGCGCCGGGGUCGGCGAGCUCCUGGGCAGCGGAGCGGGCUCGCUGUCCUGGGGACCCCCGGGGGCUCUCCGCGUGCUCGGGAAGGGCAAUCCUGAUGGUCACCGGGCUCCAGGUGCUUCCUGGGUUCGGGGUUCUCCGCAGCCCCCACUUCGUGCAAUCCUCCCCAGCGCAGGAGGAGUCUCGCCCCGGGGCGGUGUCCCCGGGCCGUGUCGGGCUGCUGCAGGUCUCGGGGAUCCCCCGCUGGGGCUUGGCGAGGUCCUGGCGGGGCCGCACCUCGGGGAUGCGGGUGCUGGGUGCCGGCCGCCCCCACUGGACGCUCUGAACGGGGCCCGGAGUCAGGGACGGCGGUGGUCGUGGGAUCGGACGACCCCCGGGGGACGGCGCAGGCUGGGCCCUGCCGGGCGAGCUGCUCAUGGUAGUCGCCAGGGCGGGCCUUGCAACUGGGGUUCGCCUUCCGGAUGUUCCCGGGGUCUGCGGACUCGACAGGAGCUGCAGCGCCCGCGGUUGGGGACCGUUGGCCUCUGGACGCCUGGAAGGAAGAAGCCUUUACCCUGUAGCUGUCACCUUCCUAUCCACCUGUCCUCUCAGCCACGCCAACCAGGAAUCUACUUUCUGCUUCUGCAGACUUCCCUCCUCUGGGCUCUCCUAUGGCAUCACUUAAAAUGAUGAUUUCCAGAUUCUGCCUUGCUGGGACCUGUACAUCCUUCCCUUUCAUGUCCAAUAAACGAUUCCAUUGUAUGGAUAUACCACACUGGUUUAGCCUUUCAUCAGCUGAUGGACGUUUGUGUUGUUUGCACGUUUGGGCUUUUGUCAGACAUUGGUGGACAAGAUUUUGCGCAGACCAAUAUUUCCAUGUCUAUGUAGUAUGUAGUUGGGAGUAGAAUUGCUGGGUCUAUAGUUAGUCCAUGUUUAACUUCUUGAAGAAGCACCAAACUGUUCUUCGCCUCUAUACCAUGUUGUGCCCUCACCAGCAAUGUUGCUCUAUUUUAUGCUUGACAUUUAGAAAGAUAAUGUUUAAUAAUACCUGCAGAAAACUGCAGAUAGAUUAUUGACAGACG
rnacentral:lncRNA from 1 species